ACACAUGCAAGUCGAGGGGCAGCAUAAUUUGUAGCAAUACAGAUUGAUGGCGACCGGCGCACGGGUGAGUAACGCGUAUGCAACUUACCUAUCAGAGGGGGAUAGCCCGGCGAAAGUCGGAUUAAUACCCCAUAAAACAGGGGUCCCGCAUGGGAAUAUUUGUUAAAGAUUCAUCGCUGAUAGAUAGGCAUGCGUUCCAUUAGGCAGUUGGCGGGGUAACGGCCCACCAAACCGACGAUGGAUAGGGGUUCUGAGAGGAAGGUCCCCCACAUUGGUACUGAGACACGGACCAAACUCCUACGGGAGGCAGCAGUGAGGAAUAUUGGUCAAUGGCCGAGAGGCUGAACCAGCCAAGUCGCGUGAAGGAAGAAGGAUCUAUGGUUUGUAAACUUCUUUUAUAGGGGAAUAAAGUGGAGGACGUGUCCUUUUUUGUAUGUACCCUAUGAAUAAGCAUCGGCUAACUCCGUGCCAGCAGCCGCGGUAAUACGGAGGAUGCGAGCGUUAUCCGGAUUUAUUGGGUUUAAAGGGUGCGUAGGUGGUGAUUUAAGUCAGCGGUGAAAGUUUGUGGCUCAACCAUAAAAUUGCCGUUGAAACUGGGUUACUUGAGUGUGUUUGAGGUAGGCGGAAUGCGUGGUGUAGCGGUGAAAUGCAUAGAUAUCACGCAGAACUCCGAUUGCGAAGGCAGCUUACUAAACCAUAACUGACACUGAAGCACGAAAGCGUGGGGAUCAAACAGGAUUAGAUACCCUGGUAGUCCACGCAGUAAACGAUGAUUACUAGGAGUUUGCGAUACAAUGUAAGCUCUACAGCGAAAGCGUUAAGUAAUCCACCUGGGGAGUACGCCGGCA
rnacentral:rRNA from 1 species